rnacentral:lncRNA from 1 species
AUCAAGAUGAGAUAGUGAUGGACUUUUCCACAAAAUUUUCCAUUUGGUUUCACCAACUUCUCCCCCUAAUUCUGGGAAAAGUGUCUCAUCAAAUCGACAGUCUGCAAAUCGUGCAGUAAACAAGUCGCCUGUCAAUGUUUCGAGGUAAAUGAUGGAGGGCGAUUCAAACCCAACAUAUAUUCCUAACCUUCUUUGCGGACCCAUUUUGGUGCGGGAUGGCGGUGCUAUAGGCACAUAUACUGCGCUAUUCCUAACCUUCUUUGUGGACCCAUUUUGGUGCGAUAUGGCGGUGCUACAGGCACAUAUACUGCGCAUCCAAAAAUUCUUAAAUGGAAUAUAGUAGGUUCAUGACCCAAAACCAAUUGCAACGG